CUUGCCUAUCUGACAUCUUUGGCAACUAGACAGUACCCAAGAAUAACUAGUGCUCUGAUACCAAUUGUUGUGCUAGGAUAACACCAAACCCGUUAGAACCAACUCAAGCUAACCCACAGGAAAUAUAUCAAAUGGAAUGCAAGAACAAAAUAUAAAAGACACCAAGAUUUUAACAAGGUUCCUCAACAGUCAGUGUAACUGGAGUAUGUCCUCGAAGCAGUAGGAGCUCAUCCAAUAAUUCACUAUCAACCAAAUGAGAGUUUACAACCAAUAAUCUCACAACUAAAACUCCAAUACAACCAAUAGCUCUUACACACCAAAGAACCAAAUAGAGAAGGAAAUAUUGUGAAUAAUUUUCUCUAUAUACGAAGCUCAAAGCUAAUACAACAAAUACAACUUUGAUGAAUGAUUACUAACCAAAGAGAAGAGCACCUUCUUCUUCUCUUCAAAGUGGGGCUACUGCACUUCUAAUUUUCUGCUACUCUCUCGGUUUCUUUCAUUACCAAAUGCAACAAGUGGGAGCACAAAAACUAAUUCUCCACCUUUGAAAAAACCAAAGCAAAAGGAAAUAAUCAUUCCUCAACAAACAUCAUCAUUUUCUUUUCACCAAAGACACAUGAUGUUGUCCACCCUUUUUGUUUAUUUUAUUAGCCGAAAGUGGUUUGCAAGUUGGCCACUAAUUUGGCCACUAAUUUGGCCACUAUACAACAGUAUAUAUACUACUUGGAGAAGGACGUUACCGAUGAUAGGAAUUUAGAAACAUGAUGAUACUCCAGAACCAGAAUCCAGAUUUGUUUGUUUACUGACCAAUUUCCGGAAAGAACACAACAAAUUGAUAAAGCUAUAGUUAACUCAACAGCCAAAUUAAUACAAUCAUCGUUAACUGAAUAGGUGCCAACCUCGCUAUACAUGUUGAUGUUAUAUUUCUUAAUUACUUUAGUCUAAAGUAGGAGGGGAAUUGGCACUAUUCAUAUGAAUAGUGUUUUGGACCACAUUUCGGUUCAUUUGCAACACUGCCAC
rnacentral:lncRNA from 1 species